rnacentral:rRNA from 1 species
UACGGGGGGUGCGAGCGUUGUCCGGAAUUACUGGGCGUAAAGGGCGCGUAGGCGGGUCGUUUAGUUAGAGGGGAAAGCCCAGGGCUCAACCCUGGAAUUGCCUUUAAUACUGGCGGCCUUGAGUAUGGCAGAGGUGUGUGGAACUCCGAGUGUAGAGGUGAAAUUCGUAGAUAUUCGGAAGAACACCAGUGGCGAAGGCGACACACUGGGCCAUUACUGACGCUGAGGCGCGAAAGCGUGGGGAGCAAACAGG